AAUCAUGAAAAACUACAGAAUGAAUGGAUUAAUACCAAGAGUUCACGGAAAUGCUGGAAAGACACCAAACCAUGCUUUGACUUAUAAUGAUAUUCUCCGGGUUGUUGCUUUCAUCAGAAAUUACGCUGAAGUCCAUG